AGGCAGAGAGAAGGAUAGUCAGAUUGCGUAGCAGGGUUAGGUGGGUUUCCGUGCUAAGUACAGCAAUUGCGCACGGUCCCUUACGUAACUGUCAGCUGGGGAUUCCCUAGAGGGGGUCACUGUAUUCAACCAUUACACAGACCCCUGCCGCCGUUCCAACACGCCUGGGCUGCCGUUGCCGCCGCUACUGAGGCUGCGGCUGCAGCUACAACGGCGGCUCCUCACAAAAUGGCGGCGCCCAUGGACGCGGCAGCAGCCCCAUUUUGUGCCCACAGAGCUGUCAACAAAACACGGACUCGGCCGGGGCAGAGACGCAGAAGUCGGCGGCGAAGCGACGUUAUGGGGAGCGAGGGACUUCACCAGCUUCUCGUCCCCGAGAAGAGACUUUCUCUAAAGCGUGCGCGCACUGGGCGGGGGAGGCGAGCAGCGGACGAAGCGGCGAAUUGAGCGCUGGGACCAGCAGGGAGCGAGAGCUCUGCGGGGACCUUCCGGAGCUGUGGCUCCGUGGUCGGGGCGAUGGUCCUGCCCUGUGCGAUCCGGGAUGCUCGGCAGCAAGGCGCUGCCCCGGUCUCGCCGGCGGGGACAGGGAGGUUCCCCGUGGGGGAUAGGUCUUGGACAGUGGGGAUGGGAGCGGAUUUGCUGUCUCCUCCUGGAGAUCUUGUUCCGGGCUCGCUCCUUGCUCUUAAACCUCUCCCUUCUUGAGCUCGUGGUUGGCAGCCCAGUUUAUGUAACUUUAUUGCUGUAGGAAUCUUGCAAACCUGCAAGGAGCUGCAGGAAGAUCUGGAUUCUUAGUUUAGUUAAUUAGGUCAAUUUCAGCAUUUAAUUACUGUUUGCUUCUUUUUAGUGCGUGCCUUUGGAAUCGGCCUAUUAGGUUGAUGCUUCAGUUUACAUUAGCUAACAGCAAGUAUCAAUCCAUGAGGAAAAUCUGUACUUUGGAGAUUUUAAAAAUAAUAGAAGAAUCGGUGAGAGAGGUGGCAGUGACCAGAUUAAGGUUGAGCAACACAGGAAACAGAAUGCCACAUAUUUAUUGCAUGCUGUUUCUUGAUAGAUAUAUGCCAAACUACCCCCUUCACCACAGCAUGGGCCGGAAAGGAGGACUUACUCAACAAAAGUACAGGUAGCGUUGGCAUUUAAACUACAGUGCCUGUAUUUCUACCUAUUAAAAGAUAUGUUUUGAAAGAACUAGAUAUCUAUAACUAGACACAAGUGGCUUAAAGUAGAAAUGAAAAAGAGCAAUCCUGUUUAUGUACCUUACUAGCUUACAUACCUGGGUAAUCAUCCUCUUGAGCAUUACAGCAUGUAGCAGUAUCCACUCUCAUAGCAAGAUGUCAGAACAACUAUAAGAUUUUUAAGGGGAAGAGGACUUUGGAAGAACUUCUUCAAGAUAGGUGAGCACAGGAGGGUAACAAUUACCUCAAUGGAAGAGCCAGGUAGAAUUAAGAUGGUAUGUGUUAAUAGUGCUAAAGCACAAGACAGAUUCUACUAGCAGCUGCAGAGACAACAACUGCUGUACAAAAUAUCAUUGCAGGAGGCUUGUUUCUUGAAGGACAUCAGUAUGGGAAUACAGUGGGUGGUCAGUACUCCACUAAUUUACUCUUUAAGAAGUUAUCGUUAGCAACAACAGUAAAUAUAUAAUACAAAUACAGUAGAAUGGGAGGG
ensembl:lncRNA